GUGAAAACCAGCAGCUCAACUGCUGGCUUGCAUGCGAUACGGGCAGACUUGAGUACUGCAGGGGAGACUGGAAUUCCUGGUGUAGCGGUGAAAUGCGCAGAUAUCAGGAGGAACACCGGUGGCGAAGGCGGGUCUCUGGGCAGUAACUGACGCUGAGGAACGAAAGCGUGGGUAGCGAACAGGAUUAGAUACCCUGGUAGUCCACGCCGUAAACGGUGGGCGCUAGGUGUGGGUUCCUUCCACGGAAUCCGUGCCGUAGCUAACGCAUUAAGCGCCCCGCCUGGGGAGUACGGCCGCAAGGCUAAAACUCAAAGGAAUUGACGGGGGCCCGCACAAGCGGCGGAGCAUGUGGAUUAAUUCGAUGCAACGCGAAAAACCUUACCUGGGUUUGACAUAUACCGGAAAGCUGCAGAGAUGUGGCCCCCCUUGUGGUCGGUAUACAGGUGG
rnacentral:rRNA from 1 species